rnacentral:rRNA from 1 species
CAUCCACAGAACUUUCCAGAGAUGGAUUGGUGCCUUCGGGAACUGUGAGACAGGUGCUGCAUGGCUGUCGUCAGCUCGUGUUGUGAAAUGUUGGGUUAAGUCCCGCAACGAGCGCAACCCUUAUCCUUUGUUGCCAGCGGUCCGGCCGGGAACUCAAAGGAGACUGCCAGUGAUAAACUGGAGGAAGGUGGGGAUGACGUCAAGUCAUCAUGGCCCUUACGACCAGGGCUACACACGUGCUACAAUGGCGCAUACAAAGAGAAGCGACCUCGCGAGAGCAAGCGGACCUCAUAAAGUGCGUCGUAGUCCGGAUUGGAGUCUGCAACUCGACUCCAUGAAGUCGGAAUCGCUAGUAAUCGUGGAUCAGAAUGCCACGGUGAAUACGUUCCCGGGCCUUGUACACACCGCCCGUCACACCAUGGGAGUGGGUUGCAAAAGAAGUAGGUAGCUUAACCUUCGGGAGGGCGCUUACCACUUUGUGAUUCAUGACUGGGGUGAAGUCGUAACAAGGUAACCGUAGGGGAACCUGCGGUUGGAUCAC